rnacentral:misc_RNA from 1 species
ACAAAUUCGGGUCAGUCUGGACAUUUAUCUCGAUGACACGGUCAUCGUUGUAAUAAAUAUCAAAGUGGAUGUGUUUAAAGAGCAAGUAGGUGUACUCGCUCUGGUCGAGCUUGUCCUUGUCAACUUUCCCCAAGAAUCCCCAGAAAGGAAGAUCGUCAUAGUACAUCUGGAAGUAGUAGUCCUUCGAGACCGCAUUUCUGAGCUUUGUAACCUCUUCCUUUGACAAAGUUCUCUUACAGAGGGAUUUUGACUGUUUGUCCUCCCGGAAAUUCAAUUCAUAUGGACCUUCAACCAACCGAUCACCAUUUAAGACUUCCCCUAGAGCUUCUUUCUUUUCCG